rnacentral:misc_RNA from 1 species
GUGAGUCAUCGAAUCUUUGAACGCACCUUGCGCUCCUUGGUAUUCCGAGGAGCAUGCCUGUUUGAGUGUCUUGAAGUCAUCAACCUCCACUGUUUCGUGCAGCUGCGGGUUGGACCUGGGGGCUUGCGGCCGAGAGGCCGCUCCCCUCAAAUGCAUCGGUCGGGCCUGUGGGUCGGACUCGGUCGGGCGUUGUACCAUCCUCGCUCUAACGAGAUGUUCCCCUUCUGUGCGCCCCUCCACGACCUGCCUUCUGAGCGGCGGUCAAACAAAACUUUGAAAUCUGACCUCAAAUCAGGUAGGACUACCCGCUGAACUUAAGCAUAUCAAUAAGCGGAGGA